rnacentral:lncRNA from 1 species
CAGAGGAGCUGGGACUACAGGCGCCCGGCACCAGACUCGACUAAUUUUUUGUAUUUUUAGUAGAGACGAGUUUCACCGUGUUAGGCAGGAUAGUCUCGAUCUCCUGACCUCGUGAUCCGCCCGCCUCAGCCUCCCAAAGUGCCGGCGUGAUUACAUGUGUGAGCCACCGCACCGGCCAGACACACUGAACUUUAAGGAAGUCAACUCACCUCACCGGCAUCAGGCAUCUUCAUCAGGAAAUUCUGUGAUGUGGUACACAAAGUUCAGCACUGUCACAGAGAAGUCAGAGAGACUGAUGGAUGCCUUUAAAAUAUCCUCAACGCUGCACGUAAAAGGCACGUGUUGCUGUGGGUGAAGAAGUUAAUGUAAGUAAAAUGAACUCGUUUGUUUUUUAAGGGAGUGUAUUUUCCACAUUGUGUAUUUUAAGGAAUAAACUGUGAUAUCUUGAGGAUAGACAAAAUCCAGGUAUGUCCUGAGGCAUCUGUCUUGUAGUCACAGGAUCGGCCCCAGGAAAACAGGGCCAUUUUUCCAUCAUGCACCUCCCUCCAGCCUGCAUUCCCUUUCCCCAGAUGUAGAAGUCUCCAAGCUUCCUCAGCUCCCUGUUAGGAAGGACAUCUCUAAA